rnacentral:lncRNA from 1 species
GUUUUGUGAAGCAGACACAUGAGAGGAUGUUUUACUGAGAACAGACACGUGCGGUUUUUCUGGAAGCUGACUGGUGAAAAGGCAUGUGAUAUUUUGCUGAAGUGGAUGCUUGAGAGGACAUGUGAUGUUUAGAAAGAGUGUAAGUGUAACCCAGCAGACAGUGGACAGUCCUCUUGCAUUGAUUUGCCUUGCGCUUUUCACUGAUCUUCACUUGUCAUGACUUCAUACACCGAAAUGCACUGAAGAACUUCUGGUGGUGGUCUAGCUGUCUGCUGCUUCAGCAGACUCAUGCCGAUCGACUGAGCCUUAUGGUUUCUUCUGAAUUAAGCCUUUGCAUUGCUGAUUGGUGUUUGGUGUUUUGCUAUUGGUGUUUGGUGUUUGGUGUUUGACUGUACUGCUGACAACAAAGAUUGGAAUCACCCCAAAGAACUACUAAACAGGUUUCCUUCUCAGGAAAAAGAAGUUGAGUCUUCAUUGGCUUGUGCAGUG